rnacentral:rRNA from 1 species
UGCAGAAUCCCGUGAACCAUCGAGUCUUUGAACGCAAGUUGCGCCC